rnacentral:rRNA from 1 species
CCUACGGGUGGCUGCAGUGGGGAAUUUUGGACAAUGGGCGCAAGCCUGAUCCAGCCAUGCCGCGUGUCUGAAGAAGGCCUUCGGGUUGUAAAGGACUUUUGUCAGGGAGGAAAUCCCUAGCGCUAAUAUCGCUGGGGGAUGACAGUACCUGAAGAAUAAGCACCGGCUAACUACGUGCCAGCAGCCGCGGUAAUACGUAGGGUGCAUGCGUUAAUCGGAAUUACUGGGCGUAAAGCUGUAGCAGGCGGGUGAAAGCCCCGGGCUCAACCUGGGAACUGCAUUGGAGACUGCACGGCUAGAGUGCGUCAGAGGGGGGUAGAAUUCCGCGUGUAGCAGUGAAAUGCGUAGAGAUGCGGAGGAAUACCGAUGGCGAAGGCAGCCCCCUGGGAUGACACUGACGCUCAUGCACGAAAGCGUGGGGAGCAAACAGGAUUAGAUACCCCAGUAGUC